AAGACCAUUGAACUUGAUGAUGUCACUUUUCAUCAGUGUGUAAAUCUGAUGAGGUUCAACUCAGAAAAGACAGUCAGCUUUGUGCCUCUGGAUGGUGAAUUUGAAUUGAUGAAGUAAAGAGUGUCUUUGGUGCUAAAAUGUUUGCACUGGGAGUUGCAGUGAAGGUUCCAGUACCAAAACAAACAGCAAAGACAAGUUUCCAGGUGACAUCAGGCAAAACCAAAUAUAAAGCUGCUAUUGAUUGUAUUGUCUGGAAUAGGCAAAGCCAAACAAGCUAUUCAAAGUGUUUUCACCAGUAGGCAAGAGCUGAGUGCUUUUCUUCUUUCUUGAUUUUAUUAUGUACCUCUUAUAUAUGUUUUUUUUCAGCAGUAGGCAAAGCCAAACAAGCUAU